CGCCCGCGCCCACCACCUCCUCCCCGAUCCCCAACCUCCCCGAUCUAGCGUCGUGGACCUCUCGCCUCCCUGCCACAUCCGCCGCCGCCCCUGGCUCCGGCGCACCUCUUGCUGCCGGAGUCGGCGCGCCUCGCGCCGCCGGCCACUCCGGCCCCGUCCCUGCCCCCCGACCCUGACGCGCCUCCCACGCUCGUCCACCCCGACCACGACGCACGUCCUGCCGCCGGCCACUCCGGCCUCGUCGUCGCCCCCGCCCCCCCGACCCCAGCGCGCUUCCCGCCGCCGGCCCUGGAUCCCCACGCGCCACCGGCCCUGGAUCCCAGCAUGCCGUCGUCGGCCCUGGAUCCCAGCCUGCCGCCCCGGCCGCUAGCCCUGGAUCCCACCACCGCGCCGCCGGGCAGUGGACCUCUGUGCGCUGCGCUUCCACGAUGGCGGACGGUAACCACCAACCCAUCAUCAUCGCCUGCAGUCCGAGCCUAUACGCCUGCACCGUUCAACUCCUACCUCGAGUACGUCUGCGAUGGAUGCAUGCCACCCCCUGCUAUGGAUAAGGUGUGAUCCGCCGUCAUCUCCUCUCACGGGGUGCGCGACUCCCGGAGGCCGGACCACCUCGGCGCACCCUGCUGGGGAGCCGUUCAACAGGGCCACCUUCAGCACCCUCUCGGGCCGUCGUUCAACUACACCAACUGGGGGUCGUUCAACAAACUCGCCCGAUGCCGUACGAGGCGGAGUCCCAGCGAGGAGCUUGUCACCUCCUAGGCUAUGUGCUGCCUGAGGACUAUGGGCUCCUGUUCGUCAACGUCGCAACGAGACCCAUAGGUGAGGCAUCCAGGAGAGCACUCCAUCCAGGACUACAGAUUUUUGCUAAUAACAAAGUUCAUGUUGUCAGAAAAUUGAAGUCCAUUUAUAUGGAAUUAGAUGAUUGUUGUGUGUAUGCAGCUAUUAGCAGAAAUCUGUGCUGAAAACUUGUGGCUGAGCCAGGGCCCUGGAUGCUGAUAACAUUUGUAAUUUGUGCUCUGUACCUUCUGCAGACUUGGGGGAUGAAAAAAGGUGGCUCCUCCCAUGAAUUAUUGAUUCCA